rnacentral:rRNA from 1 species
UACGUAGGGAGCAAGCGUUGUCCGGAAUCAUUGGGCGUAAAGCGCGCGUAGGCGGCCCGGUAAGUCCGCUCUGAAAGUCCAGGGCUCAACCCUGGAAUGCGGGUGGAUACUGCCGGGCUAGAGUCCGGAAGAGGCGAGUGGAAUUCCUGGUGUAGCGGUGGAAUGCGCAGAUAUCAGGAGGAACACCAAUAGCGAAGGCAGCUCGCUGGGACGGUACUGACGCUAAGGCGCGAAAGCGUGGGGAGCGAACAG